CAGUGGCGGCUCACUUGACUUCAAUUUUGCGAGUGGAAGCUGGUUUUUGACCGCAGUGUUUGACUGGUGAGCCAUUUAAUCUGGACGCCAGGUGAAUUGCCAUACCGCAGCCUCCACAUCACGCUAAAAGAAUGAAUUCACUGUCAUCACAGUAAAAUAUCCGAUUCACGGCAGGCCAAGAAUUCCUCGCUCCGGCGAUUGACCAAGGAGAGUUCACGGCAAAAUAAUGCAAUCAAGAAAGUUGCCAGUCACGUUAAAAUAAAUCCAUAUUGAUAAGCGGUUCAGAAAAUGGAUGGAUGGACGGAUAGAUGAUUGGAAGAACACCCUGGUUUCUGCCGUUCGACAUAGUAUGGCGAGGGAUCCUGGAGGUUAAAGUUGAUUUGCUGCGUUUCCGUGAGUGCAUAAACAGAGCGUAUCGACGCUGAUUCUCAUUGAACGGGAUCCAAACGAAUUUGAGCGCACACUCGUGCGAGCUGGUGGCGCACUCCAUUUGUGCUUGUGAGCUGAGGAGAAGCUAAGUGGCUUGUACGACCACUGAAGUCUGACAGCCUGGUGCACCGCAACAUGGAUUAGAAGCCCCACACCUCAAGAGAUCAAAGGUGGCUGUGACAGGGACACCCCCGGGGCAGGACCCAUGAGGAGUCAUAGAAGAUGCUCACAACCUGGGCACUUCUGCUCUUCUUAGCCAUGUGGGUGACAAGCACCUCUGGUGGCCCGCUCUCCUUCAGAAUAGCUGCCAUCCUAGAUGACCCAAUGGAGUGCAGCAGAGGAGAGCGCCUGGCCAUCACGCUGGCCAAAGACAGCAUCAACAGAAGCAGCAAUCGCUCCAUCACCGGAAAGCUGGAGGUGGACAUCUUUGAGCUGCUCAGAGACAGUGAAUAUGAGAUGGGAGAAACAAGUGAGUAAAGGUCUUUGAAUUG